rnacentral:rRNA from 1 species
GCUUAUGGCCAUAUCACAUUGAGAGCACCGGUUCUUGUCCAAUCACCGAAGUUAAGCGACGUUGAGCCUGGUGAGUACUUAGAUGGGUGACUGCUUGGGAAAUCUAGGUGCUGUAAGCG